CUUCAGCCUCUCAAACUGAAGAGCCUGAUUUUGCCUCUCAGCCGGAGACAAAAACUCAUCCAUUACUGCUUGCCUGAACUCUUCCCAGGUUGGAGGAUUCCUACUGUACAAUCUGUCCUCCACUUGUCUCUGGUACCAGUCCCAGGCAUCUUCCUUCAUUGUAAGCCCUACAAGUUCUAUAGCUCUUGCAUCAGAACAGGGUAGUCUCCGUAUCAUCUUUUCAGUCUCCUCCAGAAAUCUCUGAGGAUCUUCACCUUCUUCCCCCUUAAACUCCGGGGUUCUGAGCCUAAGAAAUUCCUGUACAGUAAUCCCCUCAUCAUCUAGAGCCCGCCUGGCCAAACUUCUUGGCACAGGUACAGGAGGUGGGAUAGAUACUACUGACGGGGCAGGAGUUUCCCCCGGGCAAUCUGCUCCCUCAGAGCCUGAUUCUCCGCCAGUAACUGUUCCAUCAAUGCAUCUCUAUUUCCUACCUCCCCUUGAUCAUCAACUC
rnacentral:lncRNA from 1 species